GACGAACGCUGGCGGCGUGCUUAACACAUGCAAGUCGAACGGUAAGGCCCUUCGGGGUACACGAGUGGCGAACGGGUGAGUAACACGUGGGUGAUCUGCCCUGCACUUCGGGAUAAGCCUGGGAAACUGGGUCUAAUUGCGGAUAGGACCCUGGGAUGCAUGUCCUGGGGUGUAAAGCUUCUGCGGUGUGGGAUGGGCCCGCGGCCUAUCAGCUUGUUGGUGGGGUGAUGGCCUACCAAGGCGACGACGGGUAGCCGGCCUGGGGGGGUGACCGGCCACACUGGGACUGAGAUACGGCCCAGACUCCUACGUGAGGCAGCAGUGGGGAAUAUUGCACAAUGGGCGCAAGCCUGAUGCAGCGACGCCGCGUGAGGGAUGACGGCCUUCGGGUUGUAAACCUCUUUCAGCACCGACGAAGCGCAAGUGACGGUAGGUGCAGAAGAAGGACCGGCCAACUACGUGCCAGCCGCCGCCGUAA
rnacentral:rRNA from 1 species